UAGACGUACGAAAAUCCGUUGGCUUUUUAGACCGUGAGGGUUCAAGUCCCUCUACCCCCA
rnacentral:tRNA from 1 species